AUUUUAAUAGCUUAUUUAGAGUUUAAUAUUGAAAAUAUUAAGGAGAUUUAUAAUGAUCUUAAAAUA
rnacentral:tRNA from 1 species